AAGUGCUGUAUAUAACAAACGAAGAACAUACGCCACUCAUCAAAACACAAAGAUGGCGAUCAAAGCUCUGUUGAUGGCGAUGAUGAUGUAUGCCCUCAUCCUCGUGGCCAAGGAAGCUGGCAUGCCUGAUCAGCCUACCACUCCAUGUCCAAUGUCACAAACAUUCCACGUAAAGUCUUAGAGUCCACGGCUUUCUCAGAACCUCGAAAUCCAGGAUCUAGAAAUC